AUAAAGAACCCACACUUUAUAAGAGGUUGCAGAAGAGGCAACCAAAACAAAAGUUUGACAAAUGCCAAACCAAAUGUCAUAAUUGUUGUAAAUUUGAGCAUUAUGCUUCUGAAUGUAAAAAUUUCAACAAUGUGAAGGAGGAAGCCAACCUUGUCAAGAUAAGAGAUGGGUUGAGCUUACUUUGUUAAUGGGUCACCAUAAAGAAGAUGGCAAGAAGAAAAGUAUGUAGUAUCGGAA
rnacentral:lncRNA from 1 species